GAUGAACGCUGGCGGCGUGCCUAAUACAUGCAAGUCGAACGAGGUGCUUUUGUAGCAAUACGAGAGUAUCCUAGUGGCGAACGGGUGAGUAACGCGUUGGUGACCCACCCCAAAGUGUGGGAUAACAGUCCGAAAGGAUUGCUAAUACCGCAUGUGGUCAUUGGAUUUAGAAACUUAUGACUAAAGGAGCAAUUCGCUUUGGGAGGGACCUGCGUCCCAUCAGCUAGUUGGUGAGGUAAUGGCUCACCAAGGCGACGACGGGUAGGGGACCUGAGAGGGUGGCCCCCCACAAUGGAACUGAAACACGGUCCAUACACCUACGGGUGGCAGCAGUAGGGAAUAUUGCCCAAUGGACGAAAGUCUGAGGCAGCAACGCCGCGUGCACGAUGAAGGCCCUCGGGUCGUAAAGUGCUUUUCUGGGAGAUGAGAAAGGACAGUAUCCCAGGAAUAAGUCUCGGCUAACUACGUGCCAGCCGCCGCAGUAAAAC
rnacentral:rRNA from 1 species